AAUUUCUGCAAAUAGUACCACUUAUUAAACCACUUUGCCAUCAUUAAGAUCAAAAGAUUUACACUAGCAACUGACAAUUCUAUAACUUCAUAACAACUUUCACAAGUUUUCCUCUUACUGCACUUUUUUUUAUCUGUUUCAGGAUUCAGCUUGGACGCGUGUUAAUCCCGGAGUAGCCUCAGUCUCCUUCAAUCUCGUGACAGACCCUCAGCCUCUUCUUGUCUUUUAAAACCUUUCUACUCCAUAAACACUGGUCAAAUACAUUGUGAAACACGUGUGCAGUUUCUGAUCAUUAGUUUACAGUUAUUCAGUUGGGAAAGACUGUCAGAGAUUGACAGAUGAUGAUCUGACCUCAUCACUACUCGGAGAUCGCAUGUUAUCGAUCAGUGAUAUUAACCUUGCCUAGUUUGGAGCUGAGACAGAAGAAAGGACCAUCCAGAGACUGCCCUACCCGGGGAUCCAUCCCAUAAACAGACACCAAACCCAGACACUAUUGCAUAUGCCAGAAAGAUUUUGCUGACAUGACCCUGAUAUAGCUGUUUCCUGUGAGGCUAUGCCAGUGCCUGGCAAAUACAGAAGUGGAUGCUCACAGUCAGCUAUUGAAUGUGAACAUUGGAUGUGAACACAGAGCCCCCAAUGGAGGAGCAAGAGAAAGCACCCAAGGAGCUGAAGGGGUCUGCAACUCUACAGGAGGAACAACAAUAUGAACUAACCAAUACCCCCAGAACUCGUGUCUCUAGCUGCAUAUGUAGCAGAAGAUGGCCUAGUCGGCCAUCAUUGGGAGGAGAGGCCCUUGGUCUAUGAAGAUCAUAUGCCCCAGUACAGGGGAAUGCCAAGGCCAGGAAGUGGGAGUGGGUGGGUUGGGGAGCAGGGUAGGGGAAGGGUAUGGGAGACUUUU
rnacentral:lncRNA from 1 species